UACGAAGGGGCUAGCGUUGCUCGGAAUCACUGGGCGUAAAGCGCACGUAGGCGGACUCUUAAGUCGGUGGUGAAAUCCUGGAGCUCAACUCCAGAACUGCCUUCGAUACUGAGAGUCUCGAGUCCGGGAGAGGUGAGUGGAACUGCGAGUGUAGAGGUGAAAUUCGUAGAUAUUCGCAAGAACACCAGUGGCGAAAGGCGGCUCACUGGCCCGGUACUGACGCUGAGGUGCGAAAGCGUGGGGAGCAAACAGG
rnacentral:rRNA from 1 species